rnacentral:misc_RNA from 1 species
GAUGAAGAACGCAGCGAAAUGCGAUAAGUAAUGUGAAUUGCAGAAUUCAGUGAAUCAUCGAAUCUUUGAACGCACAUUGCGCCCCUUGGUAUUCCGAGGGGCAUGCCUGUUCGAGCGUCAUUAUAACCCCUCAAGCUCUGCUUGGUCUUGGGCGUCACCGGUCCCCGGUGUGCCUUAAAAUCAGUGGCGGCGCCAUCUGGCUCUAAGCGUAGUACAUACUCUCGCUACAGACGUCCGGUGGAUGCUGGCCAGCAACCCCCAAUUUAUCAAGGUUGACCUCGGAUCAGGUAGGGAUACCCGCUGAACUUAAGCAUAUCAAUAAGCGGAGGA